rnacentral:lncRNA from 1 species
GGGGGGGCCCUGCUGCGCGGCGGAGCCCUAGAGGUACCGCGCGGGAAAGCGAACUCGUCCAGUGUGCAGAGCGUUCUCAGCCCGGCCGUCUGCCUGUCGCGCGUCUUCAGGCCUUCGGCUCCUUGAUCUACUGUCUUUCGGCUGAUGAAAUGCAAAGAAAGUAGUACAACUUAUGCCACCCUUUUUUGUGUGCUGCUCCCAACCCCCCCAAGAAAAAUGCUUCCAAAAAGUAGUUGAAUACAACGUGAAGCUAUCCAGCAGGAGAAAAAGUGUGUUCAGACAUCAUAAAAUGGGCAUCUCCCAAGGUCAAAUUUCAACAUUGCUUGAGUGUCUUGGUUUUAAGCUUAUUUUUUUGUGAACUUUUCUGUUGUCUUCUCACCUAUACUCCCUGGCUAAGAGGUCAGGGGUAGCUAGUGUUCCC